AGAGUUUGAUCCUGGCUCAGAACGUACGCUGGCGGCACGCCUAACACAUGCAAGUCGAACGAAGUAGCAAUACUUAGUGGCAGACGGGUGAGUAACAUGUGGGUAUCUACCCUUUGGCCUGGAAUAACACGAGGAAACUUGUGCUAAUACCGGAUAAGUCUUUACGGAGAAAGCUUUAUGCACCAUUGGAUGAGCCCGCACUUGAUUAGUUUGUUGGUAGGGUAAUGGCCUACCAAGACUAUGAUCAAUAGCUGAUUUGAGAGGAUGAUCAGCCACAUUGGGACUGAGACACGGCCCAAACUCCUACGGGAGGCAGCAGUGGGGAAUCUUGCACAAUGGAGGAAACUCUGAUGCAGCGAUGCCGCGUGAGUGAAGAAGGCCUUUGGGUUGUAAAGCUCUUUCGUCGGGGAAGAAAAUGACUGUACCCGAAUAAGAAGGUCCGGCUAACUUCGUGCCAGCAGCCGCGGUAAUACGAAGGGACCUAGCGUAGUUCGGAAUUACUGGGCUUAAAGAGUUCGUAGGUGGUUGAAAAAGUUGGUGGUGAAAUCCCAGAGCUUAACUCUGGAACUGCCAUCAAAACUUUUCAGCUAGAGUAUGAUAGAGGAAAGCAGAAUUUCUAGUGUAGAGGUGAAAUUCGUAGAUAUUAGAAAGAAUACCAAUUGCGAAGGCAGCUUUCUGGAUCAUUACUGACACUGAGGAACGAAAGCAUGGGUAGCGAAGAGGAUUAGAUACCCUCGUAGUCCAUGCCGUAAACGAUGUGUGUUAGACGUUGGAAAU
rnacentral:rRNA from 1 species